rnacentral:rRNA from 1 species
GGAUCAGCAGGUUGGUCGUGCCAAUGGUAUGAACUGGCCUUGCUGAUUCCUCCUUCUUGAUGAGCCGUAAUGCCAUUAAUUUGGUGUUGCGGGGAAUCAGGACUGUUACUUUGAAAAAAUUAGAGUGUUUAAAGCAGGCAAGCGCUUGAAUACAUUAGCAUGGAAUAACGGAAUAGGACU